AAACGGCCGCGUUAGCGUGAGCGUGCUAAGGUAGCGUAAUAAAUAGCCUUUUAAUUGGAGGCCAGUGAAUGGCAAGACUAGGGAUUCCUGUACCCUGUAUGCUAAAAAAACUUUUCGUCUGAGUGAAAAGACUCAGAUAGUAAAGGAAGACGAAAAGACCCCGCGGAACUUUACCUUUUCAGUCUCCACGUGCUCAGAAACACUAAAAACAAAAGGUUUGAUUGGGGCAAUCUCGGAACCAACCAAACUUCCGAUCUAUUCCACAAAAUAUACAAAACUAUCUAAGGACCAAAUAGAAGUUACCCCGGGGAUAACAGCGUAAUCUAAUUUGAGAGUACACAUCGAAAAUUAGGUUUGCGACCUCGAUGUUGGCUUAAGG
rnacentral:rRNA from 1 species